GCCGGGUGCAGUGGUGCAGGCCUGUAGUUCCAGCUACUCAAGAGGCUGAAGUAAGAGGAUCACUGGAGCCCAGGGGUUCUGGGCUGUACUGUGCUAUGCUGAUCAGGUGUCCACACUUAGCUCGCCAUCAAUAUGAUGACCUCCCAGGUGGGAAAUGGAGCAGGUGAAAACUCCCAUGCUGAUCAGUAGUGGGAUCAUGUCUGUGAAUAAUCACUGCACUCCAACUGGGAAACAUAGCAAGACCCCAUCUCU
rnacentral:SRP_RNA from 1 species